AUUGGACGCUGGCGGCAGGCCUAACACAUGCAAGUCGAACGAGUGGCGGACGGGUGAGUAAUGUCUGGGAAACUGCCUGAUGGAGGGGGAUAACUACUGGACACGGUAGCUAAUACCGCAUACCAUCGGAUGUGCCCAGAUGGGAUUAGCUAGUAGGUGGGGUAACGGCUCACCUAGGCGACGAUCCCUAGCUGGUCUGAGAGGAUGACCAGCCAAACGGGAACUGGGACACGGUCCAGACUCCUAGGGGAGGCAGCAGGGGGAAAGAUUGCACACUGGGCGCAAGCCUGAGGCAGCCAUGCCGCGUGUAUGAAGAGGGCCUUCGGGUUGUAAAGAACUUUCAGCGGGGAGGCGUUACCCGCAGAAGAAGCACCGGCUAACUCCGUGCAAGCAGCCGCGGUAAUU
rnacentral:rRNA from 1 species